UACGAAGGGUGCUAGCGUUGUUCGGAAUCACUGGGCGUAAAGCGCGCGUAGGCGGCUUUUCAAGUCAGGGGUGAAAUCCUGGGGCUUAACCCCAGAAUUGCCUUUGAAACUGUAAAGCUAGAGUGUCGGAGGGGAUAGCGGAAUUCCUAAUGUAGAGGUGAAAUUCGUAGAUAUUAGGAGGAACACCGGUGGCGAAGGCGGCUAUCUGGACGACAACUGACGCUGAGGCGCGAAAGCGUGGGGAUCAAACAGG
rnacentral:rRNA from 1 species